rnacentral:ncRNA from 1 species
AAAUUGAAGAGUUUGAUCAUGGCUCAGAUUGAACGCUGGCGGCAGGCCUAACACAUGCAAGUCGAGCGGUAGCACAGAGAGCUUGCUCUCGGGUGACGAGCGGCGGACGGGUGAGUAAUGUCUGGGAAACUGCCUGAUGGAGGGGGAUAACUACUGGAAACGGUAGCUAAUACCGCAUAACGUCGCAAGACCAAAGUGGGGGACCUUCGGGCCUCAUGCCAUCAGAUGUGCCCAGAUGGGAUUAGCUAGUAGGUGGGGUAACGGCUCACCUAGGCGACGAUCCCUAGCUGGUCUGAGAGGAUGACCAGCCACACUGGAACUGAGACACGGUCCAGACUCCUACGGGAGGCAGCAGUGGGGAAUAUUGCACAAUGGGCGCAAGCCUGAUGCAGCCAUGCCGCGUGUGUGAAGAAGGCCUUCGGGUUGUAAAGCACUUUCAGCGGGGAGGAAGGCGUUAAGGUUAAUAACCUUGGCGAU